GUGGGUUGGUCGAGAAAAUGGAGCUGAAAGAUGGUUUGGGAGGAGCGAGGGAGGAUUAGAGGGAGAUGUGAGACAGAGAGAAUAUCGGGGACAGGAUUUUGACUUUGUUGUUAGGAGCAGAGAGUAGGGAUGAGGGUUUUGAAGUGAGAAGAAAAUUAGUUGGGAGAAUGGUUUAGAGAGAGAGAGA